AGAAGAUGGACUCGUCCGGGUGGGAACAGCGACACAGUCGGUCACUUACUGGUUUGAAACAGGACAAAUUACUCUAAGAGAUUGAUGAUGUUGAGAACAGCAAUUAUUUGGGCAGUGUUCGCGGUGACGGGGGGCGUUUCUGUACGACCCCAGCGGCAGUUUCUGUUGCAACCCACCAAAAACAUUUCAAGAGAAGAUCGACCGAAUUAUAGCCUUCAACGACAACGACAGUGACGGAAUCGUCAGCCCCCAGGACCUCGACCGUGACCUCAUCCUGUACGACAUCAACGACGACUGCAGCAUCUCCCAGUUCGAGUGGGCAGCUGUGUGGUCAUGUCGCUAUGGUGACACCCCGGACAAGGCGGUCGAUAUUUUCAACAGAAUAGCAGAGGGUAAAACAUCUCUUAGCUUCAAGACAAUGAGAGGGAAUGCAAGGAACGUUACCAGAGCUGAUUUCGAAAAAACUGUUCGAGGGUUCUACUUGGAUCCGGCUGAAACCAUGCUUUGACCAACCUGUUAUACAAUACCCAAAGCGUCUAUUUCCAGAAUUAUACAGAUGCUUGUACCUUUUUAAAUAAACGCAGAAAACAC